rnacentral:lncRNA from 1 species
CCUCAUGCCACAGUUCGCAGGAAAAACACAGAUUUUCAGAUCUACAGUAUUUUCUACGGUAUUCUUUGAAAGGAACAGUGUCACCCACAUCCUAUGGCAGAGGUUUAAUUUCCCCAAUCCCUCAGCAAGGCCACUGACUUCCCAGCUUCCACUAUCUGCCACUGAAGAAGGCACCGUCAGCCUUGUGGAUUCAGCAGUGACACUGCCUACAAGAGGCAAGAAUAAUGUGAAAGCCCGUCAAGUGCAAUAGUGGAACGGAAAUAGGACCACACGCACACAGAAUGUGGUCUCGGCGCUGUGAUUCCUUGGCAGCUUGCAUCUGCUACUUAUGAAAUUUAAAUUAAAAAGUAGACAACGGUUUUUUAUCAGUUUCUACUACUUUGUCAUGUCAUAA